UGAAUUACAUUCAAACAAUGUUUAGACAUUGUGCCUGAAUAUUUGAUCUGCCAUUUUAUGAUGGUUUUCCACAGGAUAUUGGCGUAGUCCUUGUGCAUCCUCAGGCUCUUGUCCCAGUACUUUAGUACAGGGUGGUCCUCUUAGUAUCAGUGGAGAGGUAGCUCAUGCCAUCAAUCUCAGUGGACUGAGGGAAGUGUGUAUUAGGAGAGUGGAUAAAGAUGAAGUGACACUUGAUUUGGUUGAAUUCAUAUUU